GGAUUUAGCAAUGCUCUCACCAACCUACCAAGAUUGCAAAAGAGAAACGGCUGUCGAGGAUUUAAAGGAUUCCUCUCGACACGUGUGCCAGAUGGUGCUCCUCUCCUCUUUAUUAUUUUUAAGUUCUUCUGAUUAUCACUUACACGUGUGCCUUCUCAUGCAAUUUUUACCACUCGUGUGUUUCCAAAUGUUUUUCACUCUUCUUCCUUCACGUAAACGCUGCCCUUAUUAACGUCUGUUAACUUUACCUCUCACGAAUCAAACACCAUU